rnacentral:rRNA from 1 species
AUUGAACGCUGGCGGCAUGCUUUACACAUGCAAGUCGAACGGCAGCGGGGCUUCGGUCCGCCGGCGAGUGGCGAACGGGUGAGUAAUGCAUCGGAACGUGCCCACGUCGUGGGGGAUAACACAUCGAAAGAUGUGCUAAUACCGCAUACGUCCUGAGGGAGAAAGCGGGGGAUCUUCGGACCUCGCGCGAUUGGAGCGGCCGAUGUCAGAUUAGCUAGUUGGUGAGGUAAAAGCUCACCAAGGCAACGAUGGAUAGGGGAACUGAGAGGUUUAUCCCCCACACUGGUACUGAGACACGGACCAGACUCCUACGGGAGGCAGCAGUGAGGAAUAUUGGUCAAUGGACGCAAGUCUGAACCAGCCACGUCGCGUGAAGGAAGACGGCCCUACGGGUUGUAAACUUCUUUUGUAAGGGAAUAAAGUGUAGUACGCGUACUAUUUUGCAUGUACCUUACGAAUAAGGAUCGGCUAACUCCGUGCCAGCAGCCG